AUCGCUUUGGUUUGUUUCGCCAUAAUAUUCCAAUGGUGUAUGUCCGUUGCAAUGGCUGCAACAGAAUCAUCGGCGAGAAGAUUGGUGUCCGUGAUCCGCCUGCCAACCGUGUAUAUGAAGGGAAUUACAUAUUUCAUUUGGACCAUGUACUGCGUUGGGAUGGAUACGAUUUGCGUGAUCCUAUCACAAGCGACCUAGUACUCGACAACGAUGGAAUCCCUUAACUCAAAGCUCACCAAGAAUGCAAUUUCUACUAGUAAAAAUCCAGUUUUGUUGCAUUUGUUCUUCAUUUUAGGAUUCUCUGAAUACCGUAAAUGUGUGGAUAUUGUCGUUGGUAAUAGUGGCUGUUGGCUCUGGUAGUUUGUGAGAGAUUGUUCAGCUAAA